ensembl:rRNA 5S_rRNA 5S ribosomal RNA
GCCUACGACCAUAUCACCCUGAAUGUGCCCGAUCUCGUCUGAUCUCAGAAGCUAAGCAUGGUCGAGCCUGGUUAGUACUUGGAUAGGAGACUGGCUUGGAAUACCAGGUGUUGUAGGCU